UACGGAGGGUGCAAGCGUUAUCCGGAAUCACUGGGCGUAAAGGGUGCGUAGGCGGGUCUUUAAGUCAGGGGUGAAAUCCUGGAGCUCAACUCCAGAACUGCCUUUGAUACUGAGGAUCUUGAGUUCGGGAGAGGUGAGUGGAACUGCGAGUGUAGAGGUGAAAUUCGUAGAUAUUCGCAAGAACACCAGUGGCGAAGGCGGUUCACUGGCCCGAUACUGACGCUGAGGCACGAAAGCGUGGGGAGCAAACAGG
rnacentral:rRNA from 1 species